UUGUCUCUAAUACUCAGAGUUAACCAUUGAUCGCCACACGGCAUCUCCUUAAAUAUGAUAUGUAUUCACAUUUCCCCAGGUGAGCGCUUUCCUUGACGUCACGUCUCCUUCGAGCCCCUCUCCUUGGCAAGGAACACCCUCCGGAGCCCUUUGUUUUGUUUUGUGCCCCACGUCGACCUACUUUCCCGGCACUCACAAUACCUUGUUUGUCUCUCUCCUCUCCGGCCUAGUUGGCUUCAACGGGAGUCCUCCGCUUGGCAAGGGCGAGCGGAAUAGUACAGAGCUUGGCGGGUGUGUUUUCCAAAUAGGACCCGGGCUUUCAGGUUUGGGAGAUGCCAGGUCUCGUAAUGGGGCCGCUUUGGGCGCGGACCGAUUAGAGAGAGGCGGAGGUGCCCUUCCUUGAUGCCCGGCUGCUCCCUUGGGAGGUUCCUUGAACCUGAUAAGAAAUCUCCUGCAGAAUCUGGCCCAUCUUGUAUGUUUGGGAUUACGAUACGGUGUAGUAGGAAGGCCGCCAAAGUGACUUCAUCUUGGCUGGAGGAGGUCGCUUUGAACCUCUUACACUCCCUUAUACUUUUCUUCUGCCGUCAGCAGCUUUUGUUCAUGUUUUAUGGAGCGACGUCAAGCACGAAGGAGGCCCCAGGCGACAGGAAUAGGUCACCCGCCAGAUAGUUUUGGGUUAGGACAGCUGUGGAUGGUGGUAGUUAUAGUCCAGAACGCUUUCCAGGCGAGCGAUUACCUGCCCUGGGUUGAAGGGAAAGGAAUUGCAGGGAGAUUAGGGGGAAAGGAAAAAUAUGGGGGGCAAGGGGGUUGCGGAGAGAUUGAAGGAAAGGGAAAGGAAGAUGAGGACUGUAGGGAGAUUGAAGGGAAAGGGAGGGAAGGGGAUUGCAGGGAAAAGCAAGAGAUGGGGAGAGAUUAGGAUUGCAAGAGAUUGAAGGGGGGAAGGAGAGAAGAGGAUUGUGGAGAGAUUGAGCAGAAAAUAAAAACAUGGAGAGAGAUUAGGAUUACAGAGAAAGGAAAGGUAGGAGAGAAGAGGACUGUGGAGAGACAUGGGAUAGGAAAGGUAGGAGAGAAGAGGUUAAUGGAGAGAUGAAGGGAAGGGAAAGGUAGGAUAGAAGAGGAUUGUAGAGAGAUUAAAUGUAGGAGAGAAGAGGAUUGYGGAGAGACAAGAGAUAGGAAAGGCAGGAGAGAAAAUGAUUGUGGAGAGAUUGAAAGGAAAGGAAAGGUAGGAGAGAUUGAAGGGAAAGGAAAGGUAGGAGAGAAGAGGAUUGUGGAGAGAUUAAGGAAAAGGAAAGGUAGGAGAGAAGAGGAUUGUGGAGAGAUUGAAAGGAAAGGUAGGAGAGAAGAGGAUUGAGGAGAGAUUGAAGGGAAAGGAAAGGUAGGAUAGAAGAGGAUUGUGGAGAGAUUAAAUGUAGGAGAGAAGAGGAUUGUGGAGAGACGAGAUAGGAAAGGCAGGAGAGAAAAGGAUUGUGGAGAGAUUGAAAGGAAAGGAAAAGUAGGAGAGAUUGAAGGGAAAGGAAAGGUAGGAGAYUGAGAGAGAGGUAGGAGAUUGAGAGAGGAUUGAGGAGAGAUUGAAGGGAAAGGUAAGGUAGAGGUUAUUAGUGAAGAGAUUGAAAGGAAAGGUAGAAGAAGAGAAUUGUGGAAAGCUUGAAGGGAAGGGAAAGAUAUGGGGAAGAGGAUUGUGUAGAGACUGAAGGGAAAGGAAAGGUAGGAGGAGAGAUUAGCAUUCCAGAGAGUGAGUGGAAAGAAAAGGUAGGAGAGAAGAGGAUUGUGGA